rnacentral:lncRNA from 1 species
CCAAUCUGAAAAUCGAAAUUGGCGGAAGAGGCGGCCAUUUUAAAAUGGCGGCCGUUUGAUCUCAAUAGAUUAAUAAUAGAAGAUCAUGAAAAUGAAAUUAGUGAAGAUAUUGACAUGAAAUCUGGUUGAUAGAAUAACAGUGCUGAAGCCAAUUGUCUUGUAGAGUAAAAGUUUUGGAAAUAUUACCCAUAUUGAAUGGCGGC